AGAGUUUGAUCCUGGCUCAGGAUGAACGCUGGCGGCGUGCUUAACACAUGCAAGUCGAACGAGCCUUCGGGCUAGUGGCGGACGGGUGAGUAACGCGUGAGAAUCUGCCCUCAGGAGGGGGAUAACGGCUGGAAACGGCCGCUAAUACCCCAUAUGCCGCGAGGUGAAAUGAGAAAUCGCCUGAGGAUGAGCUCGCGUCUGAUUAGCUAGUUGGUGGGGUAAGAGCCUACCAAGGCAUCGAUCAGUAGCUGGUCUGAGAGGAUGAUCAGCCACACUGGGACUGAGACACGGCCCAGACUCCUACGGGAGGCAGCAGUGGGGAAUUUUCCGCAAUGGGCGCAAGCCUGACGGAGCAACGCCGCGUGAGGGAUGAAGGCCUCUGGGCUGUAAACCUCUUUUCUCAAGGAAGAAGAACUGACGGUACUUGAGGAAUAAGCCACGGCUAAUUCCGUGCCAGCAGCCGCGGUAAUACGGGAGUGGCAAGCGUUAUCCGGAAUUAUUGGGCGUAAAGCGUCCGCAGGCGGUCUUGAAAGUCUGUUGUUAAAGCGUGGAGCUCAACUCCAUUUCAGCAAUGGAAACUAGAAGACUAGAGUGUGGUAGGGGCAGAGGGAAUUCCCGGUGUAGCGGUGAAAUGCGUAGAUAUCGGGAAGAACACCAGUGGCGAAGGCGCUCUGCUGGGCCAUAACUGACGCUCAUGGACGAAAGCCAGGGGAGCGAAAGGGAUUAGAUACCCCUGUAGUCCUGGCCGUAAACGAUGAACACUAGGUGUCGGGGGAAUCGACCCCCUCGGUGUCGUAGCCAACGCGUUAAGUGUUCCGCCUGGGGAGUACGCACGCAAGUGUGAAACUCAAAGGAAUUGACGGGGGCCCGCACAAGCGGUGGAGUAUGUGGUUUAAUUCGAUGCAACGCGAAGAACCUUACCAGGGUUUGACAUCCUGCGAAUCUUUUGGAAACAGAAGAGUGCCUUCGGGAGCGCAGAGACAGGUGGUGCAUGGCUGUCGUCAGCUCGUGUCGUGAGAUGUUGGGUUAAGUCCCGCAACGAGCGCAACCCACGUCUUUAGUUGCCAGCAUUGAGUUGGGCACUCUAGAGAGACCGCCGGUGAUAAACCGGAGGAAGGUGUGGAUGACGUCAAGUCAUCAUGCCCCUUACAUCCUGGGCUACACACGUACUACAAUGCUACGGACAGAGGGCAGCAAACUCGCGAGAGCUAGCAAAUCCCAUAAACCGUGGCUCAGUUCAGAUCGUAGGCUGCAACUCGCCUACGUGAAGGAGGAAUCGCUAGUAAUCGCAGGUCAGCAUACUGCGGUGAAUACGUUCCCGGGCCUUGUACACACCGCCCGUCACACCAUGGAAGUUGGCCAUGCCCGAAGUCGUUACUCCAACCCUUGUGGAGGAGGACGCCGAAGGUGGGGCUGAUGACUGGGGUGAAGUCGUAACAAGGUA
rnacentral:rRNA from 1 species